rnacentral:rRNA from 1 species
GAUGAACGCUGGCGGCGUGCCUAAUACAUGCAAGUCGAGCGAACGGACGAGAAGCUUGCUUCUCUGAUGUUAGCGGCGGACGGGUGAGUAACACGUGGAUAACCUACCUAUAAGACUGGGAUAACUUCGGGAAACCGUAGCUAAUACCGGAUAAUAUUUUGAACCGCAUGGUUCAAAAGUGAAAGACGGUCUUGCUGUCACUUAUAGAUGGAUCCGCGCUGCAUUAGCUAGUUGGUAAGGUAACGGCUUACCAAGGCAACGAUGCAUAGCCGACCUGAGAGGAUGAUCAGCCACACUGGAACUGAGACACGGUCCAGACUCCUACGGGAGGCAGCAGUAGGGAAUCUUCGGCAAUGGGCGAAAGCCUGACCGAGCAACGCCGCGUGAGUGAUGAAGGUCUUCGGAUCGUAAAGCACUGUUAUUAGGGAAGAAGAUAAGUGUAAGUAACUCUGCACGUCUUGACGUUACCUAAACAGAAAGCCACGGCUAACUACGUG